rnacentral:lncRNA from 1 species
UCAGAUUGAUAGAAUAAAAUUUGGAUUACAAUCCCAUUUUACUUGCAUUUUUCUUUCGAGAAUCGUACAUGAUUUUUUUUGCAUGACGUAUACUUUGACUUAUUGGUAAAGUGGUGAGCCCUAAUGUAUGCACGCACCAAUAUACCAUGUGGGAGACAUAUUCUCGGUAACGGCCCCGGAAAAUAUAAAAAAGAAAUGAGUAUUUAAAUAUAUCGAAUGCGGAAGCGAGAUCAAAAUUUCAGUUAACAUCCCUUACACGAAAAACCAAAAAAACGUACUUAAAAUAUAAAAGGUUAAACUAACUAAGAAAGAAAACUCGAAAAUAAACUAUGCGUAUGACUACAGAGUCUCUAGGCAUCCCCUUCGUCGUCCUCCUGCAGAACGGGCUCGGGAACCAUGUCUUCCUGAUCUGAAAUGGUUAAUUAAGGAGUGAGCUACACUAGCCCAGUAAGAACAUCACGAUAUCUCACCGUCACGGAGAUAAAGGUGGGUAGAAAAACACAAAAAAGACCAAUGGAGCAUAAUUUACAACAAACUCGUUUAUUAACAUGAAAACCUUUACCAUCCACUUACCUUGGUGGAAUUUAUGAAAACAAUAUGAGAAAAACAAUAACAUUAUCAUAAUCAUUGAAUAAUCUAAGCUGUAAAACAUAACACUUAUCACGCCUCUUGUAAUUCAAUCAUUGUACAACAUAUCUUUUUCUCAUUUACCAGCCUACUAGUAUCCGUGGGGGUCCAUAGGGGUUCCGCUACCCGUUAACCUUUAACAUUCAUAAUCAGUUUCCAGGACCGUCCCCAUACCCCGUCCGGUAUGGGCGCCAAAACCAUAAACCUCAAUACCCCGUCCGGUAUGAGGGUGAAACGGGC